UGGGCUGAAGUUGUACCCUCCAGGUGGAU
rnacentral:piRNA from 1 species